UUCAGGAGACUCGGAGCUGCGAGUAGCAGCCCAUACUGUAUUAAAACCUUUCAUAUCUUGAAAUUUCUUUGGUAACAAGAGGCAAUAUUUUCCUGUUGAGGCGUUUCGUAACUUGAAGAUUUUGUAUGAAGAGAUGUUCGUAAGUAGAGGUACCACUGUACAAGUGUUUUUGUUAUCCUCAGCACAAUGCCUUUUUUAAAAUGUGGUUCUUCUACUGAAAAAAAUGCUUGUAGCCUGGUUGCCUUUGUUUUGAAUUUGCUGUAAGCUAAUGGUUAUAUCAGAGCAGCUGAUAUUACAUAUGGUCCAACUAGUCAGCUGAUCGCAACUCCCGUGAUUUGGUUGAUUUGAAGAAUAAAGUGUUUGUGGCAGCUCUAAUGUGCAACAAACAGACCACUGCAAACUAUGUUUAAGACUGUUAAAAGCAAAGCAAGUAACAUGGAAGGGAAAAUUCCCACAAAGAAACUGACCAAAUAUAAUUAUUUCACGUUGUUUUACCUAUGACAAGAAAGGAACCCGGUGAAGGCAAUCAUGCAGUCGAUGGCGCUGAACAUUGUCAAACGCAUGGUGUCUUUUUAUGCAUUGCAAAAGCAGUCAUUUAUCCACACACUGAUAUACUUCAACGGUGCUAGCAGCUGUUGUGAUAAACUACAUACACCCUAACCCUAACCCUAACCCUAACCCUAACCCUUUAGACCAGGGGUGCUCAUUAGGUAGAUCCUGAUCUACUGGUAGAUCUAAGACAGGUACCAAGUAGAUCCGAGGAGUGUCGAGGAGAAAAAAAAAACAAACAACGAUUUGUGUGUCUUUGUACAUGUUAAUAAUAUUUUUUUUGUGUUAAUGUACACUGCACCCUAAUCAUCUUAUCAGUCUCAUUUUCACCCGAAAAUAUUUAAAAAUAAAAUAAAAUAAAGCAGGUAAAUUUUGAAUUUAUGGUGGCGCGUGAUUACGUCACCGGAAGUUGUUAGCUCUCAGCAGUCUGAAAUUACAGCUUGUGUUCAGAACUGUUGCGGUCUAUCUUUUAUCGUCAUUAUUCUCAUUCAGAGUUUGCUUCGUGUACAAUUCACAGAGGGCACAGGCAAAGAAUAGUAAUCUUGGAGGGCCCAGGGAAACACUUUAAAACGGUACGUGUGAGCUACGAUAGUUAAGAGGCUGCAAAAGUGCGUCGCAUGCCUCAGUUUCAGGCUGUUUCUCAUCAGGGCGUGCGUUGUGCGUGUGCGUGUGCGUGUGCGUAUGCGUGCGCGCGCCGGUAAGGGUAGAUCCCGGGAGGUUAGUUGAUCGAAAAGUAGAUCUUCGAUCCAAAAAGUUUGGGCACCCC